CUAUUUUUCCCCCGGUUCAUAUUUGGAGACUAAAAGAGCAAAUAUUUGAGUUGCCAAUUUGAUAUGCGGAAUUUGGCUUGGUUUUCAUUGGCUUCUUUUAGGCACAAAACCAAUCAGGACUUUUUCUUUUGCAGCAUUUAUUUGCUUUCUGUGUUUCUGCCUUCUCAUUGUUGCAUGUUCCUUUUGAGGAUCCUCGGGUUGCUGAAUUUAUUCAUGAGAAUUUUCCGUCAGGAAAGCCACAUGAUUAGACUGCUUCUGUUGAGUAUACAAGCUUUGGAGAUCAUGUUCAGAAGGCUGAAGGACUCGCUUUUCGCCGAGCUUGUGCCCCUCUUGGUCACUUGCCUUUCAUCGGUAUUUCAUAAUUAACUCAUGUGUAAAGGUACUUCUCUUGACUGGCUUUCUGGCAACAAUGGUGAUGCGUGUGCUCAAAAACGCUUCAUCUCAAGUAAGAUCUGAAAUGUGUAUUCUAUUUUCACACAUGGAUCGUCGCCUUAAAUGUUAGUAAUACGUGAUGUCAUAGGUGCUUACUGUUGAUUAUUCGUGGUGUAGACUUUUGGAGAUAUAUCUUGGUGCGCAGGAACUUGCCCUUCAUUCGUAUUCCAUGAUGUUGAAAUAUUAGCUUUCUUCCAUUUCUUCUUUUGUUGCUUACAAUUAUUAUUUCCGUGGCAGUGACACUGCGUCCCCUACACAAGCAUAGUCCACGCAUUCUGCAAGGCCCGGAGCUGAGAAUGGCGUGCCUAAUUGGUGGGAGAUGAGUAGUCAUUGGUUCACUUGUCAAAUUUUGGGCAUCAACAAUAAUAUGGUCUCAAGUGGAUGUUGCUUGAUGGAUUCGAGUCAUCUUCAACAAGUGGAAGACCCAAGUUGGUUUGCAUCUCUCCUCCUCUUGGAUUGCACGAUCUAUGCAGGACAUUCCCAUCGAGGCAGGGCUAUACAUAUGAAUGAAGCUGGCUCAUGUGAGGUUUCAGUUCAGGGCCUAGGCUAGGAUCCCUGCUUCUAAGAAUGUGGGUUAAUUUCCAGGCACCUUUGCUUUGAUACGGACCUGAUCGUGACCUACAAAUAGAGACUCCAAUCUAAAGGAAUCCGUUCAUUUGUUCGUUCAUGUCGAUUUUGAACUAGAAGAAAACUGCUCUAAUCUAUUUGAAGUCAUGAUUUAACCUAUGUAAAUGUUUCCUCACCUUUGGUAGUCAGUCUCUCUGUACAUUUUUUCCAUAUCCAUUUGAUUCUCUUUGUUUCCUGGUAGAUUUUUUUUAUUUGAAAUUAGUAACCUCUGGCGCAUGGCCCAUUAGCACAUGAUAAUUACUUCCAUUUUGGAAACAGUUUAAACAACAGAGCUCCUGCCAUAUAAACUUGGAGCGACAACAAAACAAGGUCAGUCAUCAUACUUAAAAAGUAGGUGCUUUGCUUAACUGAAAUUAACACGAUCAAUUAGGUUAACCGUCAAAUUUGCUUAACUUGGAGCUGACUACGCUCGUUGCGCAUCUGUGCAUGUACGUGGAGAUAGGGUCCUCAUGGUGGUGACGACUAACGAUGAAGGAGGAAGGGGGCUAGGUGGUGGAGGCGAGGACGGUGGUUCUGGUCGACUGUGCCUGCCCGUCUCCGCGUGGUCUGAGUGGCACUACUACUGUGAUAUGCAAGCACCUCAGGAUGAGUCAGGUUGCAAGCGGGGCGGGAUAUCCCGCUACCCCGCUGGGCCGCCCCGCAAAAUACACCCGCGAAACUCCGCUGGGUCGACCGCUUCGUUUUGGAUGCGCCUUGUGUGUUGGGAUGAGGCCUAAUGAAUGGAUAACUUCCUAAUGACCCUAAAGAUCAACUUCCCAGAAUGAUAUCCAAUGCUCGGAAGGAAGCUCAUCCUAGCAUGCAAGGGCUCGGAAAGGGCACCUGGGGCAAACUCGAGGAUUGGGCCACGGACGCGACGAGUUGGUGAA